rnacentral:lncRNA from 1 species
UGAACCAUCCACUUGGGCCAUAACAUAGUUUGGUAUAACAACAACACCAAACUACAACCACACCAAGAGACAAGUUUAUAUAGUAUAGAAAUAAACAAUAUGAAAUCCAUUAAUAUCUACUUAUGAAUUAGAUGGACCGAUGGACGUGGAAAAACCUCGUGUGCUAAUUUCUGAAGGCUCGUCAAGAACUUUGCAAUGUGUAUUUGUUUGGCUGACAAUUCACCUAUUGUCACCACUUCCUGAGAAAAGUGUUCUAUAUAUCUACUGUCAUGAUGGCAAACCUGUAUAUAUGUAAGAAAAAUAUAUAAGUAACAUUUAUAUUGAAAAUAACAUUGACAUGCUAAAUUACAUUAAAAAGAAAUUUAUCAAGAAUCAAAGUAGGUAAAACUGUUUUAAUAUAUAAUGGUUGAUCCAAAGAGAAUAAGAUAACAUAACAUGAAGACGAAUCCAAGCAAAAAAACAUAACAUUUCUCAGGCUGAAUUGAAUAAGUAAGCAAAAAACAAAAAAAGAGAGCAGGAAAUACAAAUAGAGGUGGAAGCGUUUAAUUUAAUCUUAGUGACCUAUCUGCUAUUUUAGUAAUCUCUGUGGCUUGAAUUUGCAUUUCAAAAUUAAUGCAUAUUGAUUUUCCCUCAUCACCACUUUAAUAUAACGGAACCUGAAAUACAAUUACAAUUAACAGGAAAUGCAUGAACAUCUUCCUACCUAGUGGAAGAAAGAUCCUAAUCCAUAAAUAAUAA